UGAGGAAUAUUGGUCAAUGGGCGCGAGCCUGAACCAGCCAUUCCGCGUGAAGGAAGAAGGCCUUAUGGGUUGUAAACUUCUUUUCUGUAAGAAGAAAAGUCCCGACGUGUCGGGAUGUGACGGUAUUAUAGGAAUAAGCAUCGGCUAACUCCGUGCCAGCAGCCGCGGUAAUACGGAGGAUGCAAGCGUUAUCCGGAUUUAUUGGGUUGAAAGGGUGCGCAGGUGGUGUUGUAAGUCAGUGGUGAAAGUCUGUCGCUUAACG
rnacentral:rRNA from 1 species